rnacentral:rRNA from 1 species
UAAACCGGAGGAAGUGGGGAUGACGUCAAGUCAGCAUGGCCUUUAUAUCCUGGGCUACACACACGCUACGAAUGGGAAGGGACAAUAGGUUGCGAAGCCGCGAGGCGGAGCCAAUCCAGCAAAACUUCCCUCAGUUCAGAUUGCAGGCUGCAACUCGCCUGCAUGAAGUUGGAGUUGCUAGUAAACGCAGGUCAGCCAUACUGCGUUGAAUACGUUCCCGGGGCUU